rnacentral:rRNA from 1 species
UACGUAGGGUGCAAGCGUUGUCCGGAAUUAUUGGGCGUAAAGAGCUCGUAGGCGGUCUGUCGCGUCUGCUGUGAAAACUCAGGGCUUAACCCUGAGCUUGCAGUGGGUACGGGCAGACUAGAGUGCGGUAGGGGAGACUGGAAUUCCUGGUGUAGCGGUGGAAUGCGCAGAUAUCAGGAGGAACACCGAUGGCGAAGGCAGGUCACUGGGCCGCAACUGACGCU